rnacentral:rRNA from 1 species
ACUCCUACGGGAGGCAGCAGUGGGGAAUAUUGGACAAUGGGCGAAAGCCUGAUCCAGCCAUGCCGCGUGUGUGAAGAGGGUCUUCGGAUUGUAAAGCACUUUAAGUUGGGAGGAAGGGCGUCAAGCUAAUACCUUGAUGUUUUGACGUUACCAACAGAAUAAGCACCGGCUAACUCUGUGCCAGCAGCCGCGGUAAU